CGAAAGCCUGACGGAGCAAGACCGCGUGAGGGAGGAAGGCUCUAGGGUUGUAAACCUCUUUUAUCAGGGAAGAAGCUCUGACGGUACCUGAGGAAUCAGCAUCGGCUAACUCCGUGCCAGCAGCCGCGGUAAUACGGAGGAUGCAAGCGUUAUCCGGAAUCAUUGGGCGUAAAGCGUCCGCAGGUGGGAGUUCAAGUCGAUUGUCAAAGGCAGUAGCUUAACUACUGAAAGGCAGUGGAAACUGAACAACUAGAGUGCGGUAGGGGUAGAGGGAAUUCCCGGUGUAGCGGUGAAAUGCGUAGAGAUCGGGAAGAACACCAGUGCCGAAAGCGCUCUGCUGGACCGGCACUGACACUGAGGGACGAAAGCUAGGGCGAGCG
rnacentral:rRNA from 1 species